CCGACGCGUGCCGGGGUAGGACUCAUCGACUUCCUUGUUCGGGAAGUAGUAGUACCCGAGACUGCCGACGAUCGCCUCGUCGGUGUCGGC
rnacentral:tRNA from 1 species